rnacentral:rRNA from 10 species
CGGCCGGGAACUCAAAGGAGACUGCCAGUGAUAAACUGGAGGAAGGUGGGGAUGACGUCAAGUCAUCAUGGCCCUUACGACCAGGGCUACACACGUGCUACAAUGGCGCAUACAAAGAGAAGCGACCUCGCGAGAGCAAGCGGACCUCAUAAAGUGCGUCGUAGUCCGGAUUGGAGUCUGCAACUCGACUCCAUGAAGUCGGAAUCGCUAGUAAUCGUGGAUCAGAAUGCCACGGUGAAUACGUUCCCGGGCCUUGUACACACCGCCCGUCACACCAUGGGAGUGGGUUGCAAAAGAAGUAGGUAGCUUAACCUUCGGGAGGGCGCUUACCACUUUGUGAUUCAUGACUGGGGUGAAGUCGUAACAAGGUAACCGUAGGGGAACCUGC